GCCAUAUUUAACAUAUAAAAAAACUUUAUAUGUUAAAUUUGGCGGGCUUCCGCCAAUGACCUGUGUUUUGUAUGCCAUGUGGAGAGAUGCGCCCAUUUUCCCCCUAAAAAGCAUAGAAAACCUUAGACGAUUCAACGCGCCGCAAGUCGAAACCGACAAUGAAUCAGAUUAGAUCAGCAACUGAUGGAUGUUCAAACUCAGGCGAGCAGGAGUUGCAGCAGAAGCAAGAGCCAUAGUAGAAGUCGAAGCUGUAGCAGAAGCCUGCAAACGUAGCAGAAGCCUGCAAGCAUCAUCUGGAAUGAGCAAGUUGGACACCCAGUAGAUCUCUACACAAUUUCAACAAGUGCUUUGAGAAAUGGGUUGGUCAAGGGAAAUGCACUUGUGCCAUAUGUCGAACCUCGAUUCCUUCUAAGGCCACCAGACGUUACUGGCCGGCAUACAAGGCCACCGGCGGUCCUUGUACCACUUGUAACUACACUGGUUACUAUGACGAGAAGAAAUGCCUGAGCAACUGCGGAGAGGCAUCUCAAAGAUGGUAUCGAAUAUGCUUCCCCUCUUGAAGCGUGUAUGUUUAUCUGCCAGAAUAUCAGCUCACAUUUCGAGAUGUGGAAUGAUGGUGUUCUCAGUCCAGUUACUCUUUCUGGUCUAACCAAAGAGAGGAGAGACUUAUCAUGGCAAAAAUGGUCUUAUAAGGUCAGUUUCUAUAUUUUAUGUGGUAAAAUGGGCGGUCAGUUUCGAACCGGUUGACCGGUUUGAUAAGAAAGCAUCAAUGGCAGCUCAAUUUGCAGUAGAAGCUACUUUACGAAGAGUUCACACAGCUCAAAAAGACGACGGCAUGCCCCCAAUCGAACACCUAUUGGUUUUAAAUUAAGCCGCCGUUAAGAUGGAAGUCAUGACGCCUGCAAAUGAAACGCCAGAUGAAGGCUGCAUAGCCAUCGACUUCGACUUCCACAUGCCUGCUAUUUGCUCUCCUAUUGUUAGGCCUGGCAGGCCUGCCGAGGUUGCACCUGUAGUGUCCAAGCAGUUAUCUUAAGCGUUAAAGUAGAUACACGCCUCUUACUGGAGAAUUGUUUCUUUCGGUUCUGGGAUGAUUGAUUUAAAAGAGUUGUCAUUGGUCAGUGGCAAAGCUGCUUGAGAUGCAUACCUGGAUAUAUAAUGUAUGGAUGCUGACAGUACCCUAUUUGAUGCUGCCUUGCUUGCUGCAACUGCUGCCUUCUCCCAUUGUAAGUGGUUAGAUAUUGUGGUAUUUCUCGAUCAACUUUGUAGAAGAGGGGUUUAUGCUCAUGGUGUGUUCGAGAGUUGGCUACACCCGGCUCAGUACCGUACACGGUUAUGUAAAGAUGGCACAAGCUGUGCUAGACGUGUUUGUUUUUUCGCUCAUCUUCCCGAGGAGCUUAGGUCGCUCAUCUUCCCGAGGAGCUUAGGCCACUUUACUUUAUAUUCAAAAUUAUGUUUGUGGAUAGUUCCAGUUGCGUGGCUCUACAGUUGUUCAUACGUCUCCACCAGACGUCCGCCAUCUCCACUUGCUACGUGAUUGUUCUUUGUAUGGAUCGUCUCGCUCUCUGUCGUCAAAAGGGAAAUACUUUAGUACCUAA